AUCUGGGACCUAAAUACCCUAAAGAUGCCUAGUGUGAUCUUGGAAGCUUGAAAGCUAAGCAGGAUCAACCUUGGUUAGAACUUGAAUGGGAGACCAUCAGUGAAUAUCAGGGAGCCCCUGGUG
rnacentral:rRNA from 11 species